UCAGGACACUAAGCUGUAAGCUUCUCUACUUGGCCUUGGAUGGCCUUAUUUGUAAAUCUCAUUCCUUCUAACUUUUCGGUUACCACACAGCCAGAGUCUGACCAUGUUUUUCAACCUACAUCUAUGUUCACAGAGGUCCUUUAUGUUAACUCGAGAGCCAACAUUUCCCCCAAUGAAGUUGUAUCUAGCCCUGCCUGGUGCUGCCAGCUGAGCCUCAGCCAUGUGGGCAGCAUAUGCACAGUCAUGGUCAGCUCACAGACCACCAUAGAACUAAAAGGGAGAUGGCGACACAACCGCAUUCAAGACUCGGGGGCAGAGGACCAACCUCGUCUAUGUCUGAGGCCUUUGCCCAGAGCUACACUUCCUUCAGGCUGGUUGCCAGG
rnacentral:lncRNA from 1 species